rnacentral:rRNA from 1 species
UACAGAGGUCCCAAGCGUUGUUCGGAUUCACUGGGCGUAAAGGGUGCGUAGGCGGUUCGAUAAGUCGGGUGUGAAACCUCCAGGCUCAACCUGGAGACGCCACCCGAUACUGUCGUGACUAGAGUCCAGUAGGGGAGCGUGGAAUUCCUGGUGUAGCGGUGAAAUGCGCAGAUAUCAGGAGGAACACCAGCGGCGAAGGCGGCGCUCUGGGCUGGAACUGACGCUGAGGAGCGAAAGCGUGGGGAGCGAGCAGG